UUCGAUUAAUAAUCACUAGCUCUCAUUAUUUCUUCCUUCCUUGAGGCACAAUACAAAUCUUCUACCCGAACGUAAUCAUUGAGAAUUUAACCUCUCAACAUCUACCAACCGGUAAAGAUCGCCUCGUCUUUGCUUCAGUAAGGGGAGGUUUGUCCUGAAUAAUUCAAAACAAACUUAUUUAAACUACUUUAAUUGUAAGGUAACGAAGACUAUCCUCACCGGUGGUAUUCCAUAAACAUUCUUGCAUAAGAAAAAGAAGACUCUAGGUUGGAAACACAUCACCUUCUAAGCUCAAUAAUUGAAUAAUCAAUCUCUGCUAUGAUUAUUGCCUCUUCAUGUUCUGUCGUCGCCAGUACUUCUCCAAACUGCCACGUUUAAUUUUUUUUAGUCAGAUUCAUAAAAAGAUUCACCUACAAAUAACUUGCCAUCCAAAAAACUUAAACAACGACGAAAAUGCAGACCCAGACACUAGUUCUAUUACUAAAAAGUAGAAAGGGGUAAGUAAGCAUGCAUCAUGAAGCUAAAAAUACAAUGUAGUAUGGAUCAAAUUUCUGGUGUAUGGCUCUAGCAAGGAUCAAAUGUAAGCAUGCAUCAUAAAGCUAAAAAUACGUAUCCACUUACUGGUCCAACAAGGGUGGAGUGGCCCCAGGCCACAUAACCGGCUCCAGCAUCUCGAGCAGGGGAACAAGUUGCUACAUAUAGCUGACAACCCACAGAAAAUCACCCAUGGGAAAUCGUUAGAGUUAAUAUGGAGGAGCAUCAAGGCAUAAUUGCCAUAAAGUAGCGACUUGACUGUGGUUCUUGUUAUGUAAUCUAUCACAAAGUUCUGUUUCUAUCAUUGUACUAACUCCAAGUUUAUUAGCAAACGUAAACCGUGAUGUGCAUCUCAUAGAGGACAUAUGUUACCGCACCUGGUUAUCUGUAGCCCUGCACAAGAUAUAGCAAGGCAAAUCUCAGUGAGAAUGACUACAUAAAAAACUACAAACUGAUUUAACAUAUCACAGAUAAAUUAUUCUAAAGGAAUAUGAAUUAGGGAAUAUGUAACUAAUACCUUGCCCUCUGCAACAGUUCCCAGUGCAACGGUCCAGUAGUCAUGUUAAAAGCCCCAGGAUAGCAUAUCAAGUGAGCACCUUAUGUAAACAACUUAUUACUGUUAUCAUUCGGUAUUUCCAACAUCAGAAGUCCUUCACUUGGAAAGGAUUAUACAAAGGAGAAAUAAUUCCAUUUCCUUUUUAAUAAAAAGCAGAUUGGUUGAACUUCAAGGAAGAAUCCAGUGGCAGAUUUCAUGGGUUUGAAUUUAUUAAAUCUCAAAGGAUUAGGUGUGCUGACUACCGAAAGAAAAGCCCUUAAUUUUAUUAGUUUAGCAACGCCCAGAAAAUGGAAACUAGUUUCACUUCCAUGGAAAGAAAAAGAAACGGCUAACCUCUUGCUCCAUAAAUCAUUGCUAUUUCCUCAAAAUUAAUGUCAUAACAGAUACCCAUGGAAACUAGUUUCACUUCCAUGGAAAGAAAAAGAAACGGCUAACCUCUUGCUCCAUAAAUCAUUGCUAUUUCCUCAAAAUUAAUGUCAUAACAGAUACCUAUGCCAAUACGCCCAACUUCUGCAAAACCCGAUUGAUGGUUACUAUCCCAUCAAUAAUGAGUGAAAGAAGUUCUUUCACCAAAGGAAUAAGUGUUUGUAUAAAGGACGAACCAAUGAACAAAACUACUGCAAAGAAUGAAUCAAACCUGUAUCCACAACGGUAGGAGUCUGCCCUGCUGUGAGAGUCUUUGAUUCAGUGAAGGUAAUCUUCCCCGGGACGUUGAUAUCAAAUAGCUGCAUCUGUGACCAUAUGCCAUGAUCUUCGUUACUAAACAGUCAGUAAGGAACAAAGACCAAGACACAUAAUUUCCCUUGAAAGGUGCUCAUUAUAUGUUCAAAACAUCAAGUCUCUUCUAAAAUGGAAAAAGCAAUUUUUCAUGUAGACAUAUAACCACACAGAAUCAAUAUCAUGCAUAACAAGAAUUGAACUUGAUAUUACAAGUGCCACCUUUAUGUAAAGCUUAGAGCAUUACCUUCCUGUGCUUAGCUAACAGCUUUCCAUUGGUGCCAAAGACACAGGAAGUAUUGUACAACCGAUCCCCAGAACGCUCCACUAUAGAUCCACCAACAAUGGUGAUCUUAAGACGUUGAGCAACUUCAGACAGCAUGGCUGUUGAAGGAGAUGCAUCGCCACCCGCAUCAAUGUCCUCAGCAUAAACAGGAAAACUGUCAUUUGAAUACGGACCAUUCCAAAUUUCCUGAGACACAAAGCAUCAAACACAACUUAAAGCCGAAAAAUCUUAACAAUUAUUAAAAGUUGAGUUUAUUAGCCAUCUGGCCUUAUACAACAUAAAAUUGUUCUGAUACUCUCCUCCCCGCCGGCCCGGGUAAAAGUUACAAACCCAACAAAACACCAACCUUUCAGUUACUUACACUAUUCUUAUGGGCAUCUAAAACUCGAUCAGCUGAAAAUUACAGUUUCCAAAUUUCCAAAAAACAAACAGAAUGAGUAAAACUCACAGGGAGGAGAACAAGUUGGGCACCCUUUGCGGCGGCGUCCUCGAUGGCUUUCCGAGAGUGGGCAAUGUUCCUCUCCUUAUCCGGCGUCACCGACAAUUGGCACAGCGCAAUCUUGAACUGCACAAAAAACCCAAUUCAAAUUCAACCUCAAAACUCUAAAAAUUCACAACAAAAUGACCAGACACACACAGAGAUUAAAGAGACAGCUUGCCUUGGUGACGGGAGGAGCGGGCAGGGGAAGAGCAGGCGGGACCCUGGCUUCUUCGGGCUUGUAAGCGGCCGCCAUCACCGACAAGAAAUUUGCAGAGCGGAUCUGGGACUGCGCUGCGACCGAUGCGGAUGCUGGUGGUGAUGGCUUUGGAUGGUGCGAUUGGAGAGAGGUCAGUUGGCGGAGGAGAGAGACCGAUGCAAAAUUUUGAAUUCAAGAUCUAAAUUUCCUUGUCCCAUUGAUUAAAAGAAUGUCGAUCUUAUUAACCGAUCACUUAUUUGACAAUAUAAUAUUCAAAAUUACUCAUGUCAUACGUAAAAAUGAAACACAACCUCAGAUAUGCAUGAUCAACUAUCCUUUACUUCUACAUUGCAGACCGGAGCUUAUCAAAUCAAGAGCGCCCCUCGUUACUAGAUACAGACACAAUAAUUCGAGUUUUCGAUAAGUAAUAACAAGCUCUCAUUAUUUAUACAUACAGACGCAUUCUUUCUAUUAAGAAAUGCGGUCUUUGACACUCUCCUUCCUUGAGGCACAAUAGGAAUCUUCUACCCGUACGUAAUCAUCGAGAAUUUAACCUCUCAACAUCUACCAACCGGUAAAGAUCGCCUCGUCUUUGCUUCAGUAAGGGGAGGUUUGUCCUGAAUAAUUCAAAACAAACUUAUUUUAACUACUUUAAUUGUAAGGUAACGAA
rnacentral:lncRNA from 1 species